AUUGAACGCUGGCGGCAGGCUUAACACAUGCAAGUCGAGCGGAGAUGAGAUGCUUGCACCUUAUCUUAGCGGCGGACGGGUGAGUAAUGCUUAGGAAUCUGCCUAUUAGUGGGGGACAACAUUCCGAAAGGAAUGCUAAUACCGCAUACGUCCUACGGGAGAAAGCAGGGGAUCUUCGGCCCUUGCGCUAAUAGAUGAACCUAAGUCGGAUUAGCUAGUUGGUGGGGUAAAGGCCUACCAAGGCGACGAUCUGUAGCGGGUCUGAGAGGAUGAUCCGCCACACUGGGACUGAGACACGGCCCAGACUCCUGCGGGAGGCAGCAGUGGGGAAUAUUGGACAAUGGGGGAAACCCUGAUCCAGCCAUGCCGCGUGUGUGAAGAAGGCCUUAUGGUUGUAAAGCACUUUAAGCGAGGAGGAGGCUACUGAGACUAAUACUCUUGGAUAGUGGACGUUACUCGCAGAAUAAGCACCGGCUAACUCUGUGCCAGCCGCCGCAGUAAUAC
rnacentral:rRNA from 1 species